AAUCGAAGAGAGGAAUAUGUGUGAUACGUCUGUUGGGUAGGGGAGCGUUGUGUAAGCUGAAGAAGGUGGUUCGAGAGGGCUGCUGGAGGUAUCACAAGUGCGAAUGCUGACAUAAGUAACGAUAAAGCGGGUGAAAGGCCCGCUCGCCGGAAGACCAAGGUUUCCUGUCCAACGUUAAUCGGGGCAGGGUGAGUCGGCCCCUAAGGCGAGGCUGAGAAGCGUAGUCGAUGGGAAAUGGGUUAAUAUUCCCAUACUUGGAUAAACUGCGAUGUGGGGACGGAGCAGGUUAGGUUAGCGUACGGAUGGAAGAGUACGUUUAAGUUAGUAGGUGGGUGAGUUAGGCAAAUCCGGCUCACCAUUAACACUGAGAGAUGAUGACGAGGCUCUACGGAGCUGAAGUAACUGAUACCCAACUUCCAGGAAAAGCCACUAAGCUUCAGGUUUAUCUAAACCGUACUGGAAACCGACACAGGUGGUCAGGUAGAGAAUACUAAGGCGCUUGAGAGAACUCGGGUGAAGGAACUAGGCAAAAUAGCACCGUAACUUCGGGAGAAGGUGCGCUGGCGUAGUGUGAAGUUCUUCGCGAAUGGAGCAUGAACCAGUCGAAGCGACGAGCUGGCUGCAACUGUUUAAUAAAAACACAGCACUCUGCAAACACGAAAGUGGACGUAUAGGGUGUGAUGCCUGCCCGGUGCUGGAAGGUUAAUUGAUGGUGUUAUCGAAAGAGAAGCACCUGAUCGAAGCCCCAGUAAACGGCGGCCGUAACUAUAACGGUCCUAAGGUAGCGAAAUUCCUUGUCGGGUAAGUUCCGACCUGCACGAAUGGCAUAAUGAUGGCCAGGCUGUCUCCACCCGAGACUCAGUGAAAUUGAAAUCGCCGUGAAGAUGCGGUGUACCCGCGGCUAGACGGAAAGACCCCGUGAACCUUUACUAUAGCUUGACACUGAACCUUGAAUUUUAAUGUGUAGGAUAGGUGGGAGACUAAGAAGCGGUAACGCCAGUUAUCGUGGAGUCGGUGUUGAAAUACCACCCUUUAACGUUUGAUGUUCUAACGAGGCGCCUGGGACAGGUGUUCGGACAGUGUCUGGUGGGUAGUUUGACUGGGGCGGUCUCCUCCCAAAGCGUAACGGAGGAGCACGAAGGUUGGCUAAUGACGGUCGGACAUCGUCAGGUUAGUGCAAUGGUAGAAGCCAGCUUAACUGCGAGACGGACAAGUCGAGCAGGUACGAAAGUAGGUCAUAGUGAUCCGGUGGUUCUGAAUGGAAGGGCCAUCGCUCAACGGAUAAAAGGUACUCCGGGGAUAACAGGCUGAUACCGCCCAAGAGUUCAUAUCGACGGCGGUGUUUGGCACCUCGAUGUCGGCUCAUCACAUCCUGGGGCUGAAGUAGGUCCCAAGGGUAUGGCUGUUCGCCAUUUAAAGUGGUACGCGAGCUGGGUUUAGAACGUCGUGAGACAGUUCGGUCCCUAUCUGCCGUGGGCGUUGGAGGAUUGAGGGGGGUUGCUCCUAGUACGAGAGGACCGGAGUGAACGCACCGCUGGUGUU
rnacentral:rRNA from 1 species